rnacentral:lncRNA from 1 species
CUGAGAUGAUGGAUGGACUGGGCAUGCCGAGAUAAGAUUUCAAAUUGGUCUGUCAUGUAGCAUGCAUGUAGAGAUGAGUUUGGAUUGGUCUGCCGUGUAGUACGCUUCUGUCUAUAACACGAGCUGCUCAGUAUAUGUAGGUAAUCCUUUCUAAAGUUGAUUUUUUUUAAAGAUGUCACGAAGAACUGCAGAUGUGUUGCUAAGGCUCUCCACUUUCUGGAGGACGGAGUUUUCAAAUCAGUGGAAUGUCCAUUGGAAGCAGAGUAUGAUAGCUAAGGAGAUGGAGAAAAUUCUGGCGUUAUAUAAAAUAUCGGUCUCCGGAUUAGCUACAACUAAGGAAAACCAUGGCAUCCGUGACAGAGAGGGAGAAGCGUUCAUCCAUGUAUACGGGUCCGGUGUCUACCUCACGUCAGUCAUUUAAUGGCUAACUUAAUGACAGUCUGAUGGGGGACGAGGACGUGGGGGCUACAAACACACCAAACAGAAAACCUUGCUGGUGUCCGUAGCAACUGGCGGAAGCUUGAGGCCGAAUAAUGGUGAUGACUAGCACAGGGAGGAUGUCGCGGUCUGAAAGGACCUGAGCACUAGGACCAUGCCUCAGGACUACCUGGCCUGAUGACUCCUUGCUGUCCCCAGUCCACCUGGUCAUGCUGCUGCUGCAGUUUCAACUGUUCUGCCUGCGGCUAUGGAACCCUGACCUGUUCACCGGACGUGCUACCUGUCCCAGACCUGCUGUUUUCAACUCUCUAGAGACAGCAGGAGAGGUAGAGAUACUCUCAAUGAUCAGCUAUGAAACGUCAACUGACAUUUACUCCUGAGGUGCUGACUUGUUGCACCCUCUACAACCACUGUGAUUAUUAUUAUUUGACCCUGCUGGUCAUCUAUAAACAUUUGAACAUUUUGGCCAUGUUCUGUUAUAAUCUCCACCCGGCACAGCCAGAAGAGGACUGGGCACCCCUCAUAGCCUGGUUCCUCUCCAGGUUUCUUCCUAGGUUCCUGCCUUUCUAGGGAGUUUGUCCUAGCCACCGUGCUUCUACACCUGCAUUGCUUGCUGUUUGGGGUUUUAGGCUGGGUUUCUGUACAGCACUUUGUGACAUCAGCUGAUGUAAGAAGGGCUUCGUAAGUACAUUUGAUUGAUUGAUGAAGAGGAAGGAAAGAGGGAUGAAGAGAGAUGAAGAGGGAGGAAGAGAGAUGAAGAGGGAGG